rnacentral:rRNA from 1 species
UCACACAAGGAAACCCAAGUUAACCGUUACACGGCGUAAAAGAGUGGAUUAACAAUUUUCACAAUAAUUAAGGCCAAAACGUAGCUGAGCUGUCAUAAGCCCAAGAUACACCUAAAACCACCCUAAAAACGGCCUUAACCUCGCGACCAAUUAAAUUCCACGAAAGCCAGGGCACAAACUGGGAUUAGAUACCCCACUAUGCUUGGCCCUAAAUCUUAAUGCUUACCAUACUAAAGCAUUCGCCUGAGAACUACGAGCACAAACGCUUAAAACUCUAAGGACUUGGCGGUGCCACAAACCCACCUAGAGGAGCCUGUCCUAUAAUCGAUAACCCACGAUACACCCGACCACUUCUUGCCAAAACCAGCCUACAUACCGCCGUCGCCAGCCCACCUCCCUUGAGAGCACAACAGUGAGCACAAUCGCCCUAACCCCGCUAGCAAGACAGGUCAAGGUAUAGCCCAUGAAGUGGAAGAGAUGGGCUACAUUUUCUAACCUAGAAAACCCUUACCCUAACAUUACGGAAAGGAGUAUGAAACAACUCCUAGAAGGCGGAUUUAGCAGUAAAGCGGGAUAACAUAUGCCCCCUUUAAACUGGCUCUGAGGCACGUACAUACCGCCCGUCACCCUCCUCACAAGCUCCAACCACCACAUAAAUAAUACACCCCCUCGCCAAAGAUGAGGUAAGUUGUAACAAGGUAAGUGUACCGG